CGGCGCAUCGGUAGACGAGAGGCAGAGAGGUGGGUGCAACUGUAUAGUUCUGAUAUAAACACAGCAGCGAUUUUGAAUUUGGACGUUGAUUCGAGAAGAAGAGUGUAAAACGUGUAAUUUACAGAAUCGUCUGAAGACGUAUUCGGACUGUCCGUUCACGGAGGGCUGCCUUUGCACUCCCGAAAAUAUGGCCAGAGCCGGAUUCACCCACUGCCCCAAUGAAAACAGCCCCGAUGUGGCUCAGUGCUUCUUCUGCUACAAGGAGCUGGGAGCCUGAUGAGGUCCCUGUGUAAGUAAUGACAUGCAUCACUGGUUUCCAGUACAAGAUCCAGAUUGGCUUUUUAAAAAAACACACAACCAGUGUGAUGAGCCGAAGUGGAUGGUUACAACAGCUUCCGAAGAUAUGCAGUGUGUUACCCCCAGUCCAGUGUCCGUUUGUGGAAUAACUUCUUAUCACACAAUGUGCUUCAGUAGUGUUGCGCUGCUUUUGAAAUUGAGAAUUGCAUUGAAGAUCUGUGACUGUAAUGGGAGUUCCAGCCAUUCAAAAUCCCAUUUGAAGAAUGCUUUUGUCAUCUGAACUCAGGAAAGGAAUUGCGUUUCCAGACAGGAGCAUCAGCGUCAUUCUCCAGCUUCAUUUCAUUGCUCUGAAGAAGCUGGUUGAAGAACUGACCCUAAAGGAGCUCAUGAAGCUGCAGAAAGAGAGGCAGACGCUUCAGAUUAAAAAGACAACCAAUCAAACUCUAGAUAAAUUUGAGCCUGCUGCAAAAUCACGAAGACAAGAGUUGGAGAAACUGGCAACUGAAACAAGCUGAUUUUUACAGCUUUGAAUAAAUUCUCUUUUUAAUGUCUUCACCUGUGAUUUCCAUUUCAGCUCCAGAUUUUCGUGCGUGUGUGGCUUUUUUUUUCUUUGUAAAUAGCCGAACCAAGAAAGUUUUUGUAUAAUUUCUUUCUAUUUUUAAGGAAAAGGGGAGGAUUAAUACAAAAAUGAAUAUUUCAUAAUAAAAGCUCAAUCUCUUUAAACUUGUGAAGUCUGUUAUAAAGGAUUGCAAUUAGUGUAACACUUCUCUGGUCAAUGAGUAUUGUAGACACCUGAUAUACUUCAUUUCUCACCAAGUGCUUUGGAAACUUAUUUAUUUUAGUGUCCACUAGGAGGCAUUGCCACUUCACAGAAUCCAGAUGCCAAAUCAACCUGUAUGGGUUUUCUUAAGGGGCUGAUUUACUGAAAGACCUUCCACGCAUCAGAUUGAGCCAGCAAGCUGGAACAGCCUGCACAGUAAACCAGCACGUGGGUCAUUGCAGUAAUCUGUUUGUGUCAGUAUCUGCAAGUAUUUACCUUGUCCAUACAUCUCAAAUCUUAAGGAGGAACUCUUACUGUGAUGGUUGGGAUUAUCAGUAUCCAGUUGAAUGCAAAUAACGUCCAGACGCCAUUAAAAAUUAACGUAAGAAGAGAUGUGCCUACAGACCCGACUGCUGUGUGGUUUUGUAAUUAACGUUCAUUAAUUUUAUGUAUUGACAUUUUGGGAAAUACAUGUUAGUAUUCAAACAAUGGAUAACUGAAACGCCAGGGUUUUGAUUUAAUAUACCUGAAGGCCAUUUAUUCAGUCUGCAUUUGAGAGAAAUUGUUAUUGGUCUAUUCCACUGAGGUACAGCUUGCUAAUUAUGACUAACAGUGUUUUCGUACUGACCGUAAA